rnacentral:rRNA from 1 species
CCAAUAGCGUAUAUUAAAGUUGUUGCAGUUAAAAAGCUCGUAGUUGAAUUUCGGGAUCAAUAUGUUGGUCGUGCCUUUGGUACGUACUAGCUUAUUGAUUUCUCCCUUCUGACGAACCAUGAUGUCAUUAAUUUGGUGUCAUGGGGAAUCAGGACUGUUACUUUGAAAAAAUUAGAGUGUUUAAAGCAGGCUUACGCUUGAAUACAUUAGCAUGGAACAAUGAAAUAGGACGUUUUGAUUCUAUUUUGUUGGUUUCUAGGAUGGACGUAAUGAUUAAUAGGGAUAGUUGGGGGCAUUAGUAUUCAAUUGUCAGAGGUGAAAUUCUUGGAAUUAUUGAAGACUAACUACUGCGAAAGCAUUUGCCAAGGAUGUUUUCAUUAAUCAAGAACGAAAGUUAGGGGAUCGAAGACGAUCAGAUACCGUCGUAGUCUUAACCAUAAACUAUGCCGACUAGGGAUCGGAUGAUGUUAAUUUUUUAAUGACUCAUUCGGCGCCUUACG